rnacentral:lncRNA from 1 species
UAUCUGGCGUAAAAUCCAAACUGACGUCAUCUUCUCAUUAUUUUUGUUUUCAGGAAUGAACUGACCCAGGCAAAUAACAUUGCAGUCCACUUAAAUUUCUUGUUUACGUCGAUUGGAAACUAAUUUAAACAGAACACUCAAAGUUGGUGCCGAUCAGCCAUCUCCUAUCAAGUUUGUGUAUCAUGUACUUGCUCCAUUUUUUUCUACCAUGUAAAGUCUUCUGAAAAUUGAAAACUAAUUUAUUAUCGUGUAGUUAUUAGCACAAUCACAAAGGAGGUCACUGGUCUUUCCUUUAAUUUCUGUCACAGGCUGCAGGCCGUUAUUAUGCUAAAUCAAGGAUACGGGGAGAUAAUUAACAUAGCAACUCUGGCAAGUUUAAUAGGUUCUCACACACAGUGACAGCUACCAGCGUCCAAAGUGCUGACAUUACGACUUAGAGAUGUGAUAAAGAGCAACAUGU